rnacentral:tRNA from 1 species
UCCUGGUGGCUCAACUGAUAAAGAAUCUGCCUGCAGUGCAGGAGACCCUGGUUCAAUUCCUGGAUCAGGAA